CUUUCAUUUCAAGAUCAAAGCCUCUUCUUCCUCUCCCCUUCCAAAAGAAAAUGGAAAAGCUGAAUUCCAAACUGUUGAUGGAGAACUUGUACAUCAUGCAGGAAAACGAGAGGCUGAGGAAGAGGGCUGAGCUUCUCAACCAGGAGAAUCAGACUCUUCUCACUGAGCUCCAGCACCGCCUCGCCUCUGCCGCCACCACCACCUCCUCAAAGGCCAACAACAAAUUCAACAAAUGAGAUUUAUAGUUUUAAGGAGAAUUGGUAGUAGAAAUUAUCGAAAGUAGAUAAAUCGCUUCACUUCUGACUUCUUUUUUGUCCUUCUUGUUUAUCAUUCGGAUUAUAAUCUGGAAAUUAAUAUUAGUUUUAUCAUUAUUUACUACUGUCUUUCAAAGGAGGAAUAUAUUUCUUAAUUA